rnacentral:rRNA from 1 species
GAUGAACGCUGGCGGCGUGCCUAAUACAUGCAAGUCGAACGCUGGAACUCUAGCUUGCUAGAUUGAAGGAGUGGCGAACGGGUGAGUAAUACAUAAGCAACCUACCCACGAAGACUGGGAUAAUCUCUGGAAACGGGGACCAAUACCGGAUAGGUAAUCGGAAGGCAUCUUCUGAUUAUUAAAGGUUAAAAACACUGGUGGAUGGGCUUAUGGCGCAUUAGUUAGUUGGUGAGGUAACGGCCCACCAAGACGAUGAUGCGUAGCCGGCCUGAGAGGGUGAACGGCCACAUUGGGACUGAGACACGGCCCAGACUCCUACGAGAGGCAGCAGUAGGGAAUUUGCGGCAAUGGGGGAAACCCUGACCGAGCAACGCCGCGUGAGUGAUUACGGCCUUCGGGUUGUAAAGCUCUGUUGUAAGGGAAGAACGGUAGAUAGAGAAUAUCUAAAUGACGGUACCUUACCAGAAAGCCACGGCUAACUACGUG